UUUUGCUUUGCGAUUUUAAAU
rnacentral:piRNA from 1 species